UACGGGAGGCAGCGGUGGGGAAUAUUGCACAAUGGGCGCAAGCCUGAUGCAGCCAUGCCGCGUGUAUGAAGAAGGCCUUCGGGUUGUAAAGUACUUUCAGUCGUGAGGAAGGUGUUAAGGUUAAUAACCUUAGCAAUUGACGUUAGCGACAGAAGAAGCACCGGCUAACUCCGUGCCAGCAGCCGCGGUAAUACGGAGGGUGCGAGCGUUAAUCGGAAUUACUGGGCGUAAAGGGCACGCAGGCGGUUAAUAAGUUGGAUGUGAAAUCCCCGGGCUUAACCUGGGAAUGGCAUUCAAGACUGGUUAGCUAGAGUCUUGUAGAGGGGGUAGAAUUCCAUGUGUAGCGGUGAAAUGCGUAGAGAUGUGGAGGAAUACCGGUGGCGAAGGCGGCCCCUGGACAAAGACUGACGCUCAUGUGCGAAAGCGUGGGGAGCAAACAGGGAUUAGAUACC
rnacentral:rRNA from 1 species